rnacentral:rRNA from 1 species
CAGUCGCCGCGGUAAUACGGAGGGCGCGAGCGUUACCCGGAUUUACUGGGCGUAAAGGGCGUGUAGGCGGCCUGGGGCGUCCCAUGUGAAAGGCCACGGCUCAACCGUGGAGGAGCGUGGGAUACGCUCAGGCUAGAGGGUGGGAGAGGGUGGUGGAAUUCCCGGAGUAGCGGUGAAAUGCGCAGAUACCGGGAGGAACGCCGAUGGCGAAGGCAGCCACCUGGUCCACUUCUGACGCUGAGGCGCGAAAGCGUGGGGAGCAAACCGGAUUAGAUACCCGCGUAGUCCCUGUCUCUUAUAA